AUUGAACGCUGGCGGCAGGCCUAACACAUGCAAGUCGAACGGUAGCACAGAGAGCUUGCUCUCGGGUGACGAGUGGCGGACGGGUGAGUAACGUCUGGGAAACUGCCCGAUGGAGGGGGAUAACUACUGGAAACGGUAGCUAAUACCGCAUAACGUCGCAAGACCAAAGUGGGGGACCUUCGGGCCUCACACCAUCGGAAGUGCCCAGAUGGGAUUAGCUAGUAGGUGGGGUAAUGGCUCACCUAGGCGACGAUCCCUAGCUGGUCUGAGAGGAUGACCAGCCACACUGGAACUGGGACACGGUCCAGACUCCUACGGGAGGCAGCAGUGGGGAAUAUUGCACAAUGGGCGCAAGCCUGAUGCAGCCAUGCCGCGUGUAUGAAGAAGGCCUUCGGGUUGUAAAGUACUUUCAGCGGGGAGGAAGGCGGUGAAGUUAAUAACUUCACCGAUUGACGUUACCCGCAGAAGAAGCACCGGCUAACUCCGUGCCAGCAGCCGCCGUAA
rnacentral:rRNA from 1 species